rnacentral:lncRNA from 1 species
GAAGACAUACCAAAGAAGAACAUUUUUGGAACCAAAUGAAUUUUCAUAAACAAUCAAAAAGAAAAAGGUGAAGUGGUCAAAAACAAGGUAAGACUUGUCGCACAAGGCUACAAUUUGCAUGAGGACAUUGAUUACACUGAGACAUUUACUCUAGUGGCCAGGUUAGAAGUUAUUCGUAUCCUACUUUAUUUUGUUGCAAAUAAUAACAUUACAUUAUUACAAAUGGAUGUUAAAAGUGCUUUUAUAUAAAGUUAUAUAAGUAAAGAAGUCUAUGUUAAACAACCCCCAGGUUUUGAAAGUUCUGAAUUUCCAAAUCAUGUUUUUAAACUUAAGAAAUCUUGUUAUGGUCUAAAACAAGUACCUACAACAUGGUAUGAUAGACUUAGUAACUUUUUGCUUAAAAAUAACUUUAAAAGAGGACAAGUAAAUAAUACAUUUUUUAUAAAAUCAUUAGGAGAUGAAAUUUUUAUUAUUCAAACUUAUGUUGAUGACAUAAUUUUUGGAUCUACUAAUGGCACUCUUUGCCAAGAAUUUUCUAAAUUGAUGCAGCUUGAAUUUCAAAUGAUUAUGAUGGGAGAACUUAAGUUCUUCUUAGGGAUACAAAUUCAAAAAAGUCAAAAAGGUAUAUACAUUCAUCAAACUAAAUAUACAAAAGAGUUUCUCAAGAAGUUUAAAAUAAGUGAUUGCAAACCUAUGGCUACACGAAUGCACCAUACCUAUUCACUUGAAAAAGAUUAUUUAGGCAAAAAAGUUGACCAAAAAACCUAUAGAGGAAUGAUGGGAUCCCUACUUUACCUUCUUACUUCCAGACCUGACAUCAUGUUUAGUGUAUGUGUUUGUGCAAGAUUUUAAGCUGGCCUUGGGGAAUCACAUUUAACUACUGUUAAGAACAUCCUUAGAUAUCUAAAAGACACUACCCACCUUACCUUGUUCUAUAAGAAAUCUUUUAAAUACAAAAUGAGUGGAUAUUGUGAUUCUGGUUAUGGUGGAGAUAAACUUGAGAGAAAGAGCACUAGUGGCAACUUUACCAUUCUAUGUGACAACUUAAUAUCUUGGUCAAGUAAGAUACGAAGCACCAUUUUCAUGUCAAUAGCAAAGACUGGAUACAUUUCAGCAAUUGGUUGUUGUUCUCAACUACUUUGGAUGAAGCAUCAACUUGACCAAGUUAAAAAGAAGAUAUGAUCAACAUUUGAAAAAAAUUUGAUCAAUAUUUGAAGAAGAUUUAAUUAAUAUUUCUCACAACAAAAUAUGAACAAAAUCAAUCUGAAGAAUUUACAAACUCAAUCUGAACAAAAUAUGAACAUAAUCAAUCCAAAGAAAUUACAAAUUCAAUCUAAACAAAAUAGGAACAAAAUCUAUUUACAAAGUCUAUCUGAAUAAGAUACAAUUCAAAAUAAAACAAGGACUAAAUUGAAGCCCUAAUUUUACUUAUAAAUAGAUACUCAAGGCUCAAUAAGAAGACUUGGCUUGUAGGGACAGGUUGUUAGGAGAAGACUUGGCUUGUAGGGUCAAGGUGGUUAAUUCCUUAAAUGUUUGGGGUUGUCAAGUUGUUUAGGAAGACUGGCUUGGAGGGACAUGUUCUUUGUAAUUCAAGGUAUUUGAAUUAGUGGAUUAAAGCCUUCUGAAUGAGGGGAUUGGAUGUAGCCAAGUUAGUGGUGAACCAAGAUAAAUCUAUGUGUCAAAUUAUUUAUGCUUUCAUUGUUUGCUGCUUCUGAAUCCGAUUGCUACUUAUUUGUGUAAUUUUAUAUAAACCAACCAGCCUUCAUCAAAAUAGCAAAAACUUAGCAACUUAUCAAAUACAAUUCAACCCCCCNNNNNNNNNNNNNNNNNNNNNNCCCCCUUUCUUGUGUUUGCACCUGGAAACAUCUCCCGAAAGAUUAGGACAAUUUUUCCACAUUUGGUGCUUGAGCACAUGAAGUCCUAGGUCAUCAACUCAAAGUCCGGAAAACUUUUCACAGUUAUGCUUAUGACAACCCGUUUCAUUGAGGCCCUAGAGGAAGUAAGACGAGUUGUUCAAGAAGAACAUUUGGUAUCCUUUUAUGCACCAGUGUUCAACAUUCAAAAUGUCAUCAAAAUGAGACUUAUUGAUGCAAAAGACUUCAUAAAACCAAGUAAUGAAGUUCAACGGCUCUGAGGACAGUCCAAUGGAUCUCAAGGCGACCAUGUUUUUGUUGGAGAUUUGUUCACUUAAAUCAUUUAGGAAAACAACAAAAAGGUAAUUCAAGAACAUUUAAGGAUGUAUACCUCAGGUCAAAUGAUGCGUCUGGUUUGCUUUCCUCUGCCAAAGGCAUCUCAGGAGUUUGAGAACAAAAGGAAAAAAGUAGUCAAGGUAUGUUCGUGAUAGAGGAAGAAGAAGAUGAUGAAAAUGCUAAUGAGGAUAAAGCUAGCCUCAACAUAAGGAAGCGAAAAAAGCUCGCUCUUAGGUAUGGAUCAAACUUUUACCUUGUCAAUAUUGAAUUUCCUACCUCCACUCUAUCACCUUCCCACUCUAACCCUCCACAUACACCUACCCAAAUAUCCAAUACCACAUCAUCCAUCUUUUCCCCACCUAUAUCUCACCCUUCCUUUCCCCACCUAUAUCUCACCCUCACCCACCUAUAACUAUGGAUCAUAUCUGUCGCGGCAUAAAAUUUCGAGUUUUCCUCGAAUUCAAUAGAGUCGUCACCAAAAUUUAUUUUAAAAUAAGGCAAAUAUUGGGAAACCCUUAAAAAAUAAAAAAUUGUCUUAGAUACCAGAUUUUGAGUUCGAGAGUCGAUUAUGCGUAUGGAAGGUAUUAGCACCCUAUGACAUCCGUUAAAAUACAGUUACCUAUAAUUAAUUGUGCAAAAUUAUAUCAACUUAAAUAUAUUUAUUUCUCUUUAUAAUUAAAUAUAAAUAUAAAUUGUUUUUAUAAAUAUGAUUUUUUUAGAUAAAAGUGUGUUUAGAAAGAGUUGAAAAAAAAGUUUUUUAUUAAUGUUCUUGAUAAGAGUAUGAUUUUGCUCCUACGUAUCUCUCGGUGCUAUGGAGAAAUCAAAGCUACAUAGUUCCUGGUUAAUGCGGAUGUAUAGAUUAUUUUUAAAGAAAAUUUGUUUUAUUAAAAAAAUUAUUUUGACAAAAAAAUGAGUUUGUUUGAUUUGAGUAAUUAUUUAAACAUGUGAAUUUUAGGACAAUCAAGUUGUACAACUCAUGUCUCAAAAAUUUAAAGAUUAAAAAAUUGUCCAUCUAAAUUAAUCAAAUUUUAAAAGUCGAUUUUGGGUUAAUUUAAAAUCGAGUCUUAGAACUAUCAAGUUGUCACAACUUGAGUCCUAAAAGAUUAAAAAGAUGUCACAUCUAAUUAAUCAAUUUAGACUAAAUUUCGUAUAUUUAUAUAUUUGGGAAGAUUAGUUUUAGAACUAUCAAGUUGUCCCCAGUUGCGUCCUAAAAACUCAAAGAUUAACAAAUAUCAUAUAUAAUUAAUCUUUAAAUAUUUGAUUACAAUUUUAUAUUUGUUUUCUUUAUAAGAACUUAAAAAAAUUGAUUCUAAAUAUUAAAUAAAUUUAAAUUAUUCUACAAAAUAAAAUCAGUAAUAAACACAAAAAACAAAAUAGCAAUAAACAAAAUAUAUGACUUGAUAACAACAACACAUUUUAAUAAUAGAACCAAAAAUAUUAAUUACAAAGUCUCUUUAAAAAUAAUAAGUGAUGGAACAUAAUUCAUUUUAAUAUUAAAUAGCACCACCCAAAAAGAAAAAAAUUUGUUAUAACAUAAAAUAAAUGAUAUUUAUUGCUAGUUAAUUAUAUUUAUAAUUAUUUAUACUAAAUGAAAUUAUUUAUGUUAAAUGUAAUAAAUAUAGCAAGACAUUUAAUUAAAUAGAAUAAAGCCAGUUAUAAUGUGUAGUUAACGUGCAGUUGUGCAGUUGGAUAGAGGAACAGGUGAAUAGAGGAACAACUGGAAUAAAGGCAUUUCAGUCAAGAAAACAUGACAGUUAUAACCAAGCAGACUUUCAAAAAUUGCUGUCAAAACAGAUUUCAAAUUUCCAACACACAACACAAAAAAUCAUCUCAAACAAAAACACGACCACCACCCAUUACAACCUUUACAAACACAAAAUCCAAAGUUUCUAAAGUUUAUACCUUUUAAUAAUAUUAUGCAGUUUGAAACGAAAGAUUGAGAAAAUACAUGCCUUUCAGGAUGCCGAUGAAGAUUAAAGUUGUGUGCGGCUGCAGUUCUCUGCUCUUUAAUGCAAUGUUGUUAAAAUGGGUUUGAGUAUACUUAUGGGUUGGAUCUUUCUUCAUUUGAUUGGUUGUGUGUAAUGAUCUGUUUAUUUCAACAA